GGGAUGACGUCAAAUCAUCAUGCCCCUUAUGUCUUGGGCUUCACGCAUGCUACAAUGGCCGGUACAGAGGGCUGCAAUAUCGCAAGAUGGAGCGAAUCCCACAAAGCCGGUCUCAGUUCGGAUUGAGGUCUGCAACUCGACCUCAUGAAGUUGGAGUCGCUAGUAAUCGUGGAUCAGCAACGCCACGGUGAAUACGUUCCCGGGCCUUGUACACACCGCCCGUCAAGUCAUGAAAGUCGGUAACACCCGAAGCCGGUGGCCUAACCUUUUGGAAGGAGCCGUCGAAGGUGGGAUCGGUGAUUAGGACUAAGUCGUAACAAGGUAGCCGUACCGGAAGGUGCGGCUGGAUCACCUCCUUU
rnacentral:rRNA from 1 species